rnacentral:rRNA from 1 species
GAUGAACGCUGGCGGCGUGCCUAAUACAUGCAAGUCGAGCGAACAGAUGAGGAGCUUGCUCCUCUGACGUUAGCGGCGGACGGGUGAGUAACACGUGGAUAACCUACCUAUAAGACUGGGAUAACUUCGGGAAACCGGAGCUAAUACCGGAUAAUAUAUUGAACCGCAUGGUUCAAUAGUGAAAGACGGUUUUGCUGUCACUUAUAGAUGGAUCCGCGCCGCAUUAGCUAGUUGGUAAGGUAACGGCUUACCAAGGCAACGAUGCGUAGCCGACCUGAGAGGGUGAUCGGCCACACGGGAACUGAGACACGGUCCAGACUCCUGCGGGAGGCAGCAGUAGGGAAUCUUCCGCAAUGGGCGAAAGCCUGACGGAGCAACGCCGCGUGAGUGAUGAAGGUCUUCGGAUCGUAAAACUCUGUUAUUAGGGAAGAACAAAUGUGUAAGUAGCUGUGCACGUCUUGACGGUACCUAAUCAGAAAGCCACGGCUAACUACGUG